AUCGCUUCUCAGCCUUUUGACUAAGAUCGAGUGUGUAUCUGUUCUUAUCAGCUCAAUAUCUGAUACGUUCUCUAUCUGAGGACAAUACGUUAAACGGAUUUGGGGGAUUAGGAGAUGGAAUUGGAGUUUGCUCCAUCCACUCCACACGUCAGCCUGGUACUGCAGUGCCUCCAGGAACGGUGCACUGAAA